UCACAUUCAGAUCUGGCAUGACUUUCUGUCUUCUCACAGUCAUGUUUAGCUGUGUGGUGAGA
ensembl:miRNA